rnacentral:rRNA from 1 species
CCUACGGGUGGCUGCAGUGGGGAAUAUUGGACAAUGGGGGCAACCCUGAUCCAGCCAUGCCGCGUGUGUGAAGAAGGCCCUCGGGUUGUAAAGCACUUUCAGUGAGGAAGAACGCCUGGUGGUUAAUACCCAUCAGGAAAGACAUCACUCACAGAAGAAGCACCGGCUAACUCCGUGCCAGCAGCCGCGGUAAUACGGAGGGUGCGAGCGUUAAUCGGAAUUACUGGGCGUAAAGCGCGCGUAGGUGGCUUGAUAAGCCGGUUGGGAAAGCCCCGGGCUCAACCUGGGAACGGCAUCCGGAACUGUCAAGCUAGAGUGCAGAAGAGGAAGGUAGAAUUCCCGGUGUAGCGGUGAAAUGCGUAGAGAUCGGGAGGAAUACCAGUGGCGAAGGCGGCCUUCUGGACUGACACUGACACGGAGGUGCGAAAGCGUGGGUAGCAAACAGGAUUAGAUACCCUUGUAGUC